GUUGUGUUUUAUUUUUCUGGUGAAAUUUUACUUUAUUCUCAUGAUCUCCAUUGUAUUUUUAAAAUGCUUUUGCUUUGUUAAAAUCUAGUUUUAGCCAGGCGCGAUGGCACACACCUGUAAUCCCAGCAACUUGUGAGGCUGAGACAGGAGGAUGGCGAGUUCAAAGCCAGCCUCAGCAAAAGUGAGGAGCUAAGCAACUCAGAUCCUAUUUCUAAAUAAAAUACAAAAUAGGGCUGAGGAUGGGGAUCAGUGGCCGAGUGCCUCUGGGUUCAAUCCCUGGUACAUCCCCCACACACACACCCCAAAUCCUCUAGUUUGGGGGCUGGGAAUCAAAAACUUCUAGUUUUGUGGCACUUGUUCUCACUCUAUUGUAGGGGAGUAUAAAUUGCGUGCCACCUAAUAUCCUUGUCUUCGGGUGCUUAUUUUCAUAAGAGAUCGGUAACAUAAUUUUCCAGACUUUGGUUUCGGCAGAUAUUAAAGCGAAUGUAGACGCUUUAAGAAUGUGUGAAUUGUAGUGGCAUCACAUGUGACGUGACUGUCGCAGACCCACUGGUGAACACCAACAGGAAGAGCAGGAGGCUGUGGAGCGCAGCAGCCAGCAGGUGUCAAGCACAGAAGCCAAGUUGGGCGUCAGAAACUCUGGCAGACCCCAGAAGCUACCCAAUUGCUCUGCGUCUUUAAAGGAUAUUAAACUUGACGCCAUCCCCUGCUUGGACUAUUCUUUGAAGUAUUUCAGAGACCUCAUGCUGAGAAAUAAUUUAGUGAACCUCAUGAACUUCUGGACUGUUAAACGGAAUGUGACUGGGAGCAGAAACUGCCCAGCUCCUUUGGGGAGCAGCACCCACACUCAGCAGAUGGUUGGUGCAGUCUGGUUCAGAGCCAGCUUUGCUAGGGCAUGGAGCUCUUGUUGGGGGAUACCAGGGGCAUUGUGAUGGUGUCGUGGGUUUGCUUCACAGUACUACAGGGGGAAACGGUAGAGACAGAUCAGGAGGGGUAUGAACUGGCACUGGGGCUGGGUGGUAGGCACAUGAGUUUUCACUUUGUAUUCAGGAAGUUUUUGUUUCUAAUGAGCACUCUAAGGAGAAAAAGAAUGCUUUAGAAAAUUGUGGGUGUCGUUUUGAUAUUGGCCAGGUGUAGGUUUGG
rnacentral:lncRNA from 1 species